AAUAGAUACCCAGGUAGUCCACGCCGUAAACGAUGGAUGCUAGCUGUUAUAGGUAUCGACCCCUGUAGUAGCGAAGCUAACGCGUUAAGCAUCCCGCCUGUGGAGUACGGUCGCAAGACUAAAACAUAAAGGAAUUGACGGGGACCCGCACAAGCGGUGGAGCGUGUUGUUUAGUUCGAUGGUAAACGAAGAACCUUACCCAGGUUUGACAUCCUUGGAAUUUCUCCGAAAGGAGAGAGUGCUUUAUUGAGCCAAGUGACAGGUGAUGCAUGGCCGUCGUCGGCUCGUGUCGUGAGAUGUUUGGUUAAGUCCAUCAACGAGCGCAACCCUUGUGAUUAGUUGAAUUUUUCUAAUCAGACUGCCCUGGUAACAGGGAGGAAGGAGGGGAUGAUGUCAGGUCAGUAUUUCCCUUACAUCUGGGGCUACAAACACGCUACAAUGGCCGGUACAAAGGGCAGCCAAGUCGCGAGACGGAGCAAAUCCCAUCAAAGCCGGUCUCAGUUCGGAUUGCACUCUGCAACUCGAGUGC
rnacentral:rRNA from 1 species